CGCCUGGUUCGAAUUGUGCACUAUUGACGCUGGAUCAGCGCACGGAAGCUCGCGGCGGAUGUCCGAUGAAACACGGCACCAUAGCGGGUCACAGUCCUGUACACGCCCAUCGAGCGCUCGCGCAUAUGACCAGUGUUCUUCGAGUCGCGUAGUUUUGUAUUGCUGCGCCAAUCGGGAGGUAGAGCCCUUCUAAAGCUAAAUAUUAUGGCAUGACCGAUAGCAAACAAGUACCGUGAGGGAAAGGUGAAAAGCAACCAUGCAGAAUGGGUUGAAAGAGAAGUGAAAGUGCUACCGGGAUAAGGGCUAUUGAUUUCAAGUGCGGAUCGCGUGUGCUUCAGUGCUACGCUUACCGCCGUCAUGCAUCGAUUGGGGACCGGGGAGAACAGGGUCGGUGGGAAUUCGGCUCGGUCUCGAGUGUUGUAGCCCGCCGGCCAGUGGAGCCCCCCUCGAUCGGAUACCAGGUGCAUU
rnacentral:rRNA from 1 species